rnacentral:rRNA from 1 species
AUUGAACGCUGGCGGCAGGCCUAACACAUGCAAGUCGAGCGAGCGGCGGACGGGCGCGUAAUGCUUGGGAAUUGCUCAGCCGAGGGGGAUAACAGUUGGAAACGACUGCUAAUACCGCAUACGAUCGGAUUGCCCAGGUGGGAUUAGCUAGUUGGUGAGUUAAUGGCCCACCAAGGCGACGAUCCCUAGCUGGUAUGAGAGGAUGAUCAACCACACUGGAACAAAGACACAGUCCAGAAUCCUGCGGGGAGCAGAAGUGGAACAGAAUGCAAAUUGAGGGGAACCCUAAUGCAGCCAUGCCGCGUGUGUGAAGAAAGCCUUCGAGUUGUAAAAAACUUACAGCGAGGAGGCAUUAAGAGAAGAAGCAGCACCAGCUAACUCCGUGCCAGCAGCCGCGGUAAUAC